UGGGAAGGGGCUCAGUGGUAGAGUGCUUGCCUUGCAUGCAUGAGGCCCUGGGUUUGAUUCCUCAGUAUCACAU
rnacentral:tRNA from 1 species